AUGACUCUCCCUUAUUUCUCUAGAGGAGGAUUGGAUUCAGAGAUUUAUGAGAUUGAUUAUAGAGGUCCUGAGACUCACUCGUUUGUGCCUCCACCUAAUCACUCCCAUGGUAAGAUUCAUUCACCUCAUCACAAAAGCUAUGCAGAUGCAAACAAAGCUAUGGACUUAACUACCAUGAAACAAAAGGUUAAAAAAGUUCAUGGAUGA